rnacentral:rRNA from 1 species
GACGAACGCUGGCGGCGUGCUUAACACAUGCAAGUGGAGCGACGAACCAGGGCUUGCCCUGGGGCAGAGCCGCGAACGGGUGAGUAACACGUGGGUAACGUGCCCCGAUGACUGGGACAACCCGAGGAAACUCGGGCUAAUACCGGAUAUGCCCCCUGACAUCUGUCAGGUGUGUAAAGGAAGCUUCGGCCUCCGCAUCGGGAUCGGCCCGCGGCGCAUUAGCUUGUUGGUGGGGUAACGGCCUACCAAGGCAACGAUGCGUAGCUGGUCUGAGAGGACGAUCAGCCACACUGGGACUGAGACACGGCCCAGACUCCUACGGGAGGCAGCAGUGGGGAAUCUUGCACAAUGCGCGAAAGCGUGACGCAGCAACGCCGCGUGGGGGAAGAAGGCCUUCGGGUUGUAAACCCCUUUCAGUUGGGACGAAGCUUCGCCGGUGAAUAGCCGGCUGGAGUGACGGUACCUUCACAAGAAGCCCCGGCUAACUACGUGCCAGCAGCCGCCGUAAAAC